rnacentral:lncRNA from 1 species
GGGUGGUUUUGGGACAUUUUUGGGGUGUUUUCGGGGUGAUUUCGGGGUGUUUUUGGGAUAUUUUUGGGGUAGUUUCGGGGUUAUUUUUGGGGUGUUUUUGGGGUUAUCUUGGGAUGUUUUUGGGAUAUUUUUGGGGUGUUUUUGGGACAUUUUUGGGGUGAUUUCGGGGUGCUGAUCCCCUCUCCUCAGCCUCUGAACGGGUCCAGGGGGGGUUUGGGGCUGAUUUUGGGGGGAUUUUUGGGGUUAUUUUUGGGGUUAUCUUGAGGUGUUUUUGGGAUAUUUUUGGGGUGGUUUUGGGACAUUUUUUGGGGUGAUUUUGGGGUGAUUUUUGGGGUGAUUUCGGGGUGUUUUCGGGGUGAUUUCGGGGUGCUGAUCCCCUCUCCCCAGCCUCUGAACGGGUCGCUGACGCUGGAGUUGGUGAACGAGAAGUUCUGGAAGCUCAGCAAACCCCUGGAGCUCUUCUACGCCCCCAGCAAGGAGCAGAAAUAGCCAAAAACGCCCCAAAAUCCUCCCGGGGACCCCCAAAUCCACCUGGGGACCCCCAAAUCCACCCGGGGACCCCAAAAUCCACCUGGGGACACCAAAAUCCACCUGGGGACCCCGAAAUCCUCCCAGGGACCCCAAAAUUCAUCUGGGGGAUCCCCAAAAACCCCAAAAUUCAUUUGGGGAUCCCCAAAUUCCCCCCCAGGGAUCCCCAAAAACCCCAAAAUUC